GACGAACGCUGGCGGCGUGCCUAAUACAUGCAAGUAGGACGCAGUUGCGAACGGGUGAGUUACGCGUAGGUAUCUACCUGUUAGAGGGGGAUAACUAUUGGAAACGAUAGCUAAUACCGCAUACUAGUAGAUGGAUCUGCGUUGUAUUAGCUAGUAGGUAGGGUAAUGGGCUACCUAGGCAACGGUACAUAGGCGACGUUGGAGGGGGGGCGGCCAGACUGGGAAUGGGAGACGGGCCAGACUGCUACGGGAGGGAGCAGGAGGGGAUCUUAGGAAAUGGGGGGAACGCUGACCGAGCAACGGCGGGGGAGUGAAGAAGGUUAUGGGGGGGUAAAGCUCGGUUGUUAAGGAAGCGGUAAAUAACCAGGAAGGGACGGCUAACUACGUGCCAGCAGCCGCGGUAAUAC
rnacentral:rRNA from 1 species